AACUUUCAACUGUUGGUUGAAAUGGUUGCCGUGGAGAUGGUCUCAGCCUAGAGCGGCUGCUGUUCAGCUUUGGCCCCUGAAGGGAGAACACAUCUGAGGAUGAAGAAUGGUUGAGGCAUUUGUUCCUCUGGUUUUCUCUCUGCUCCAGUGCCACAUCUGCCUCGAACUGCCCUGACUGCCUUUGUUACGAUACCUACCCGUGGCUUGCUUGUGCCAACUCUGAAAACACAGGGCUGCCUGAGGGAGCUCUCGUGUUAGCAAGCAGCAGCUCGUGGGAAGGAAUCCUUAUUGUCCCCAUCUUAAAGACCUCCGAAACGAAACCAGAGAUACUGAAUGAUUUGCCUGGGAUGACUCCGCUACCACUUGGCACAGCCACGGUGCAAACCCAGUUGGGCUGAUCCCUCCUGCCUGACUCAAGAGCCUCUGUCUAUAUGGAAGCAAUCAACUUAAGGUCACAAGAGGCCCAUUUCAGAAUGGGUUCUGUCCCACACUCUGGAGGAAGGAAUGCUGUAUGAGGAGGCCUAGAAGAAUCUGAACAGACAGGCUUUACUGGAGUUCCCCACUCGGCCCGUUAGUAUUAGACCAGAUCUUUUUGUCCAGUCACA
rnacentral:lncRNA from 10 species